AGGAUGAACGCUGGCGGCGUGCCUAAUACAUGCAAGUCGAACGAGGUCUUCGGACCGAGUGGCGAACGGGUGAGUAACACGUUGGUACCUACCCCGAAGUGGGGAAUAACUGCCCGAAAGGGUGGCUAACACCGCAUAAUACCGCAAGGUUAAAGCAGUAAUGCGCUUCGGGAGGGGCCUGCGUCCCAUUAGCUAGUUGGUAGGGUAAUGGCCUACCAAGGCGACGAUGGGUAGCUGGAUCGAGAGGUUGACCAGCCACACUGGGACUGAGAUACGGCCCAGACUCCUACGGGAGGCAGCAGUAAGGAAUCUUCCACAAUGGACGAAAGUCUGAUGGAGCAACGCCGCGUGCAGGAUGACGGCCUUCGGGUUGUAAACUGUCUUUUAUAUGGAAGAUUAUGACGGUACCAUAUGAAUAAGGACCGGCUAACUACGUGCCAGCAGCCGC
rnacentral:rRNA from 1 species